GUGCAAGUAAUUCCUAAAAGGCUACUCAAGUUAUUACUUAGGUCAAGACAAUUAUCAAACAAGAAAGUACAAAUAUUUAAACCAGGGGAUUAUGGUCCCAUUAAUCUGAAUGUUUUCCAUUAAAUAUCCUCUUUUGUUUAACUAAAGUCAUCUAAUUGCAAUGCAUUUACAGUUUGAAUCUUGGGUAUUGCCAAAUCACCUGUGCCUUUCCUAAUCUUGGAGUAGACAUCUCCAAGAGACUUGGUUAAGUGCUAUCAUAAAAUCACAUUAGCAGUAGAAACAUCACUUCCAUAAACACAGAAAAAUCUCUAAAUAAAAAAAAGAGAAACAGUAUUCUUUCCAAACUCUUCUGAGGAAAAGACAACAAGGAUUUCUUUGUGUAGCCUGGGCUAUUCAGAAAGUUGCUCUGUAUCCCGGGUUGAACUCAAACUCAGAGAUAUGCCUGUCACUGUUUCCUGAGUGCUGGGAUUAAAGGCAUGUGCUACCUCUAGCUGCACCAGUUUUAAGUUUUACUGUUAGUGUUGUAGAUGAGUUCUAUCAUCUGUAGCAUUCUCAGAUCCACUUGGAAUGAAAUACAUAUUUCUGAAUAUAUGUCUUGGCUAUAUAGAAUUAUGUCUUAAGUUAUUGUAAAGCUAAAAUCUACUACAUUCCUCUUCUUGAUGAACGUAUUUUAAGUUAAUUAUUAUACCUUGUAUCUUACUUUUUUUCCUGUAGAGCCUAGAUACUCAGGAAAUUGGAUAUUUUCAGUAACAUGCAGCAGUAUAGGAGUGGAAACCCCAAGUCUCUGCAUGCAGCAGAGUGCACAAAGGAGAUAUUUAUCACUAAUGCAGAAAUUGCUUCUUUGAAUAUAAACCUUAAAUACAGUUAUUUAAAUAAUUCAAUAGAGAUUAAUUUGUAAUAUAUAGAUUUAUAUAUAAUGCAAAUUGUGUAUGUACUCUGAGUUAAGAAAAAUGUUUUAUUUAGGUACGUGUCUUUUCCUGGAAUUUUCAGUAAUAUUCUAUCUAUUAUAUCUUUCAGGUAUCUGUAGGACUUGAUAAAUGACAGUCAGUGUUAUAUUUUUUGCCACUCAACCUAUCUCAAAUAAUUAUGUAUAAGAGUAUACAUUUUUAUCUAUUUCUCUCUGUGUGUCUCUCUGUGCUGUGUGUGUGUGUGUGUGUGUGUGUGUGUGUGUGUGUGUGUGUGCGCGCGCGCGUGUGUGUAUACAAAUGCACUAUCAUAAGUAUUUCAAAUACAUGAGGUACUAAAGAUCAGGUUGUGAUUGUCUUGGCACUAGAGGUAGCUCUAUGAUUAAGUGGAAAACAGGAUUUAACCAAACCUCUUAACACCAUAUUGGUGAUUAUUCCUCAGAGGGUGUAUGUCCCUUACAAAUACAAUAAAAGAUUGCAAACAUUAGAGUAAGACUACACUUUGACCCUGUAGCAACAAACCUGUCAAUUCAUUAGUCUAAAGAUAAUGUGGUGUCCGAUGUAAGCAGGAAGUUGAUGGGGAAGUCCUUCUGUGUAUAUGUCUCUCUUAUUGGUUAAUGAAUAUUCUUGGCCAAUAGGAAACCAAGAUAGGCGGGACUAGAAGAGAAGAAGGAUUCUGGGAAAUGUAGUAGGAAGUCCCCAUGACAUCCGGGGAAGGAGAGGAAGUGUGAGGCUGGCAUUCUUGGAAAUGUGCUCCUGUGUCUGAAGCUACUGCCUUAAUAUCUGUGAUCCUUGGCUCAGUAUUGGACCCUGCAGUAUGUGCAAGGAAGAUUUACUUUGGGGAUUAAUGCAUGAAUGAUACAAGGCUUGAACUGAUCAUGUGUUCCCUUGGAGGCUCCACUAAGUAAAUGGCUAUGUAAGGGCAAAUUCUCACUUUAGGCACCCGGGCCUCUCAGAUUCCAAAACUAAGUGCAUUUGGAAAAUCUGACAUGACAUAUCAGAAAAUGUUCCCGAGAAGCUGCAAUUGGCAGCCCAGAAUCCCAAUCAUUCAUCAGCAGGCAGAAAGGCAGGCUUUUAUGUAGAUAAACAGGAUAUAGGCCAAAGUGGCUGGAUAUGUAAUUACCCCUACUUACCUCGGGACAUUUUUCUCUUUUAUAAUUGAAUUCACGGCCUAAAGUAAAUUGUGUUUCUUUCCUGUCAUUCACUUUGUAUUCUUGGGUUUUGCUGGGGGAAAUGAAUCAGCAGCUCUGAAGGAGAUCUCCAAGCUUUCCUCAAGAUUUGCUUUCUAUUGGUGGAAUUGAGAUCACUUUUCUUAUUGGUUCAGGUUCCAAGCAAAAUUUGAAUGCACACAGACCUUCAUUCAUAGGUAAGGGCAGUAAAUAAAGCCUGCAGAGUUUUUUUUUUUUUUUUUUUUUUUUUUUUUUUUUUUUUUUUUCCAGUCAGCUCUUGGCUAUAUUCCAGGUCUUAUUUGCCCCUAUAUAUAACCAAAGCCUGACUGUACAUAGGCCCACACAAAACAGACAGUUUCUGACGUAUAGGAGAGAGUGUCCAUAGAAUUCAGCAAAGGCAGGGAUUGCACAGUUCCCAGCAUUAGACCACUAUGUCAACUCCUGUGCAGUAAGUAGCAUGCUUCUGAUUCUACUGCUUUUCUUUAAAGAUGUGGCAUUCCUGUGUUAGACUUGAAGGGCUGCAAUAUCAGAAAGAAAGAUAAUUCUCUUCAGGAUUUAGUAUCUGUAACAGACUAAGGGGUCCUACUCUUUUUCUCUUCUCUGGGAAAUCCAUUUUGGAUAUGGCUAUGGCAUUGUAGUUUUUUUUUUUUUUUUUUUUUUUUUUUUUUUUUUUUCAGGAAACGUUAGAGUCACUGAAAAUAUCAGUAACAUCUGCAGACACUACCCUGUUUCUCACCCAGGGCUCCUGAUGAACAAUAAAUUAUAGUGUAGGAAAUUUACUUAUUAUCAUUGUGUUCCAAUUAGCUUCUCUGAUGUUCAACUUUGCAGUAUUACUUUGCAUUGGCACUGAGUUUUGGCAUAUAGAAUCUCUUGUAGAUUAUUUUUUUCUUCCUUGUGAGCCCAUUUCUAUUUGUGAUAUCAGGCAGGGCAUGAACUUUGUUGGUAAACAAUUAUUUAUUGAAGAUGGCAGAGAGAUAUUAAUGCUUUCCCUGAAAGUAAUUAACACACCAGAUUUCUUUGUUUUUGGAUCUCUUCCUUUCUUAUGCUUUAAACUGAUGCAGCUAUUAUCUUGUGCCUGCUACCUCAGACUCUGAAUUCCUAUGUCUGAUAGUAAAGUUGAGACAGGAAAAUGUUGUACAUUGGCAACAUCAACCACUUCUGAAUAUGUUGAAAUCUUUCUAUCAUCUUCUGAUUGCAUAUGCAUGCUGCUUUCAGUAUUUUUUUUUUAAUGAGGACAUGAAAAAGCAGAACAUAUCACCUCAAAGACCUUUGGGUUCUCUAGAAAGGCCUUCCCUGUACAUCAUUAUGUUAUUUCCCAACUAGUGCCUGAGUAAAAUCUCUGAGGGUCAAGUGAUGCACAGACAUAUGGGUAUAUCAAUGUCACUAAGACUCAGUUUAUUUAUAUGACUCUUGUAGAAUGAAAGUUAUUGUUUUUGUAUAAGGCUGUCAUCAUUCUUUUCUCAUUCUUGGCCAUUAAAGCAGUCUGGUUCACGCCUUCCUUCCAUUAUAUGAUCUUUAUCAUCAUUCUCAGAAUUGAUUUCUCCCCUGAUUUUUUGGUCACUGUGACAAAAAUAGAUCUAAAGUUUGUUUUCUAUUUCUUUUUAUGGCUUGUAAUUGAUGAGAAUGAGGAAUUUGUUCUUGGUGAUUUUUAUCCACUAACAUGCAAAUUAACCUUUAGUCACACUACAUGUAGUUGAUCCCAGUGAAACUUCUGAAGAGCACCAGAUGGAUUUCUAUUCUAGGAUGACAUAAGUAUAUAACAACUUCAAAAACAGGUUGCCAUCAUAUUGGGAAGUGUCAGCAUAGUUUUCAAAUGGUCUAGAAAGCUUCAGUGUGGGACUGUAUGCAUAAGCAAACCCAGUAACAUAUUACUAUUACCAGAGACUGAUAACUCUGAAAUCCCUUCAUGGUAGAUGGGGUGCAUUUUUCCCAAUAUCUCUCCAACUAUACUUGGAUACAUUUAGAUUACUUUCCAUAUGUACAUACCCUUAUGUGUGUGUAUAUGAAUGUGCUUAUGUAUAUACAUACAUACACAGGCAUGUAUGUGUGCUCUAUUUUGACAUGGUGUAGAAUUUCAUACAUGAGAACUUCAUUGUAUUAUUUCACACUUCCUUCUGCCUGCUCCUUCAAAACUAUAUCUGUACUACUAAGUGUCAAAUAAAUAUCACUUUUUAUUUAAAUUACUUUAUUUUAUUGUACAUAUACAAAUGUAUACAUCAGUAACCCACACUGUGUGUAGUAUGCUGUGAUUAUGUGUAACCAUUUUUAGCAUUGAAACUUAGGAAUUGUAUGUACUAAUAGUGUUAAUGUUCACUAGAAACAGAUUCUGUCUUAGCAUCCAUCUUAUCUCCCUUGCUUUUCUGCUAAUUGAGAGUAUUUCAAAGAGUUCCCCAACUUUGUUGGCAUUAUCAUUUGUGAUGUCAUUGUGCUAUUAUUUUUUGGUUCUUUCUUUGAUUUAUUUAAGGUGUUUUGCUGGAUUUCAAUUUUUCUAAACGUUGUGAUUUGCUUUGUGAUCAUUAAUUGUGUCUGAUCAUUGCGUGCAGUAUUUUAUGAGUCUAAGAAUAAUGGUGAGUUGCAUGGAUUGGUCAGAAAUCCUUGGACAAAACAUUGCAAAUUCUUUGCCAUAUGAGAACUUGUGGAAUUGUGCAACAAUGCUUUAAAAUGCAUUUUUCCAACCGUUGCAAUAAUGUUUCCUCUGGGUAUUUGGGCAAAUAUUUAGAACAGAGAUAGGAAAUGCAUUCCUUCAGAGAAGUUGCAGAUGAAGGCUCUCCUUCUGGGUCCACUAUCUCCCUAAACAUGUGUAGUAUGUUAGGUUAUUAUAUUGAACUAAGGUUUGUCUUCCUGAUAAUUAUAGAUUUCUAUAUUAUUCAAAAAUGUUAGAGUGGAAAAUUCUGACCUGUCUGUGGAUACCAACUACUAAUACCCUAUGAAUGGCUAAGUGUUCCUAAAUUAUGACACUCAAAGGAGCUAUUAAAAUCAUCCAGUUUAACUUUUUUCUAUUUUUCUAUUCUUAGAGUAUACUUAUUUUAAAAUGGCACAUCAGCAUUAGCAUACACUCCCAGGACAUGAGGAAUAUGUACUGAAUGUAGGACCUCUGAGUUUUCUGGCCAGCUGCAUACCAUGUUUUUCAAAUUCCAUGCCCUUUAGAAACACUAUGUCAAACUACCAUUGCUAUUAUACUGAUGCAUAAAGCUAGUAUUUUUUAGGUAAUAGCAAUCUUGUACUAUUGAAUUCCCUUUGGCUGAGUUUGCAUAUGAAAUUAUAAAAUCCAGACUAAAUUCUACUCAAGUGGAUGAAGGAAUGUGAAGCUAUAAACAUAAAUACUUUGAACAUAGUUAGAAAAUAUAUGCCUGCAGAGAAGUAGCAGAUGAAAGCUCUGCUUCCAGAUUUGUCACCUUCUGAGCCAGGCUUAGUAGGCUAGGUUACUAUAUUGGGCAUAUUUUGUCUUUCUGUCAAUAAUGUAUGUCUCUGUUAUUUAAAAAAAAAUUAAAAUGAAAAAUUGACGAAUAUCUUUGGGAAGAUAGACUUACUUUGGGAAGAUAGACUUACUUUGGGAAGUAAGACUCUAAUGCCCUAUAAAUCUAAGAAGAAGUUGUUUAUAUCAUCACUUUUACCGUGACACAUUGUGACACAUUGUCAAACUCUUAGCAAAGGUUUUGACAAUAACACUUCAUGAGGGAUAUGAGUAGAAAUAAUUGUGGUAUUUCUAAGAAAUUAAUCUAAGAAAUUGUUAAAAGGUUCUCAUUUUCAGGAAGAAUCAUGAUAGAAUAUAAUUUUACUGGAUUCUAAAAUUUUAAAUACAGGAGAGUCCUCUGCAUUCACUUUGUUCCAUGUAUGUCUGAUUACAAAAGAACAGCGGAGACACUAGAUUGAUCUUAAGAAUUGAAUUCAGUAUUCAAUCAACAAAUGUUGAAACUGGGGUGUCGCAGAGUAUACAGUUAUAAGAGAGAACUAGAAAUGUUAGCUAUGUACAAGCAACAUCUGUGUGGUCUCGGAGUAAUACCCCAGAAGCCAUUUUGUGCUUUUAUGUUUAUAUUAUACCCCACUUGUAAAUUGCUCUGUCUACAAUAAACCUGAUUGCUUGGAUAUAUGAACAACUUCAUCUAUUUCUAGAAUAAAAUUAUUAAAAUUCAAGAAUUCUAGCAUUGUCAUGCAAUCUAGGAAAUGGUGCAUAGGUAGUGACAGUAAGAGCAAUGAGUUUUACUCUCUAGCUUUCAUACCACCAUUGCCAAUCUCAUACCUGUGAGAAACUUUGUCAAUCUGCCAUUGCUAAUAAUCCUCUGUAUGGAAAAAAAAGUAUUAGAUGGUUAUUUAAGCAUAUGUGUACUAUUAAAUUCCCAUCUUCUGAGUUUGCAUACAUAAAGCUUUCAGUAUAAAACUUAGCCAACAUUAUACUCUGUCCUGAGGAAGAUUCGUAAAGUGAAAACCUUAUCAGAGUAGCUUAUAUUAUUAAUGAGCUGAUGAAGUGGUAACGACAGAUUUUGUCAGGUUUUCUAGUCCCAAAGGCUAAACAUGUUGUAGAUGACUCCAUACCACAGAAAAAAAAAAAAAAAAAAAAAAAAAAAAAAAAAAAAAAAAAACAGUGAUUUAUCUGGAGUCAUAUAUCCCUAAAUUAGAGUAAGUGUAUGAAAUAAGGCUUGGAAAGUAAUAGUGCUGAUUCCAGAGGAAAUCUCAUGGAGGGAAUGUAGUGAUUUUAUCCUUUUUAUUUAAAUUAGAAACAAGCUUGUUGUACAUGUCAAUCCCAGUUCCCUCUCCGUCCCUUCCACCACUUCCCCUCACCAACCUCUAGCCCAUCUCCUUUAUGCUCCCCAGGGAGGGUGAGUCCUGCCAUGGAAGAUCUUCAAAGUCUGUUAUAUCAUUUGAAGCAGGGCCUAGGCUCCCACCAUGUGUCAGAGCUGAGAGAGUAUCCCUCUAUGUGGAAUGGGCUCCCAAAAUCCAUUCGUAUACUAAGGAUAAAUAAUAAUCCACUAAUAGAGGCCCUAUAGAUUACUCAGGCCUCCUAACUGACACCCACAUUCAGAAGUCUGGGUUGGUCCUAUGCUAAUUUCUCAGCUAUCAGGCUGGGGUCCAUGAGCUCCCCUUUGUUUAGGUCAGCUGUUUCCGUGGGUUCUCUAGCCUGGUCUUAACCCUUUUGUUCAACACUCCCCCCUCACUGCAACUUGGUUCUGGGAGUUAAGCUCAGUGUUUAUCUCUGGGUGUCUGAUUCUGCUUCCAUCAUGAGGGGGAUAGAAUAUUGAGUAGGGAGAACAAUAGAUGAGAGCAGGUAAAGAGAUGCCAUAAUAGAGGGAGCCAUUGUGGCUUUCAAGAGAAAUCUGGCAGUAGGGAAAUGUCCAGAUAUCUACAAGGAUGACCCCAACAAACAAUCUAAGCAAUAAUGGAGAUGCUACCUUAAAUGACCUUCCUUGAUAAUGAGAUUGAUGACUACCCUACAUGCCAUCCUAGAACCUUCAUCCAGUAGUGUAUUUUUUGUUUUGAUAUUCUUAUAUUGAUAUUGAACAAAUUGUUUCAUGAAAAUGAAUGGGAACUGCAAAAGCAAAAUGAAUGCUAAAUGAAUGCAAACAUGUGUGGAACCACAUUUAAAAUAACACAUACAAACCUGAAUGGUUGCGAGUAUAUAUGUAUACUAUGAAAUUUAUUCUGAAGUUCAUUACUUUCUGAAAUAAAUACUUGAGAUUAGUUUUUUAAUCAUUAGUAUGUUCUGAGAAAGUAUAUGCAAAUUGGUAGACUCUGAGCAGGGCUUGAAAGUAACAUUUCUAUUUACAAUACAAGCAUCUUAGUUUGGACCCUGUGUGUGUGUGUGUGUGUGUGUGUGUGUGUGUGUGUAAAUAGGUUAUUCACCCUUGAUGUAGUUGAGUAUUUCCUAUACAAGUGCUGUAUUUAUAUUAUUUCAUACUUCUUUCUGCUUCGUCUUACAAUUCCAUGUGUGCUAUAGUAAAUAUCAAAUUAAAUACCUUUUCUAACUCAUUAAUUUUCAAACAUAUGCAAAUGUGUACAUAACUAACCCACACUAUGUAUAUAAUGUGUGGAUUAUGUGUAUCCAAUUUAGCAUUGACCAUUUUGGGAUAUAAAAGCCUAUCAAUAUUAGUGUCAAGUAGAAAUGUGUUCUUUCAGUCAUCACUUAAAUUGUUAAUCUCUACCUUCUCUGCUCAGGGUGUGUUUCUUUGGCUAGAUAAAUUUCCCUACAAUUUUCCUGUCUCUUAGAAUGAUAAGUUGGUGUGUCAGUGUUAUAUUUUUUGUUUGUUGAUUUGUUUUUAGUUUCCUGUUUGUUUUAUUUGCCUCAAGGCAAUGUUGCUUUCUGUAGCCUGUGCUGAACAGUAAGAACUUCUGUAUCCCUGGUUGUCCCCAGAAUGGGAUUAAAGGCAUGUUCCAGUUGCCAAAUUUUAAACUUUAUUGUUAGCUUCAUAGGUGGGUUGCAUUUUCCCGUGCUUCACCUGGAAUGAAAGAAGUAUUUCUAGCUAUAUAUCUUUACUGUGUAGGCUCAUGCAUUUAAUUGAAAGCACAGAGAACACUGAUGUAGGAGGAAGUUUCUCUCCAGCCUAUUCCCCCUACCCUUCAGUCCCAAAUGAUCACCCAGAGCCUUAUAUUAAUUAUAACUGUAUGGCUCAGGAUUUGUUAUUGACGAUCUCUUAAUGAUUAACCCAUGUUUUUUAAAUCUGUGUAUCUCUACAUGGUCUUGGUUUAUAUGUGAUACCCAUGAUGUUCCUUCCUCAUAAGCCACAUGAUGUCUUCCUCUGUCAUGUCACUGUGUUCCUAUUCCAAGCAUUCUCCUAAUCUGAUAGCCCAACAUAUACUUCCUACCUGGCUACAUUCUGGGAGCCCAUUAGCAAAAACAGCAUUAUUCAUCAACCAAUAAGAGAAAAAUAUAUUCACAGCAUACAGGAGGGCAUUCCCCAUCAUCUCCUCUUUUGUGUCUAACUGGAAAGGAAGGUUUUAACUUCAACAUAGUAUUUUUAUCUAUCCUAUCUUUUGUGUCUAAAGUUUUAUGUUUAACUUUUUUUAUUAUAACUAAGGAAAACCAUAUCCAUAAUAUUUGUCUUCCACUCCAUCAAUGACCCCAGAAGGAUAUUAUAUAAACUCUAGAAUUGGCAGUGAUAUCUCACUGCCUGGACAGUCACAAAAAAAAUUCUCUGUAAUGUUGGGGCAUCCAGUAUCAGCCCAUAGGCUACGUGCCUGGCAGACUUUUUAAUGAAGCAUGACAUUUGAAGAUCUGUUCUGUUUUGUAUUGGGGAAGUUCUUCUGUUGUUUUCUUCUGUAAAGCAGGAUGCCUGAAGGACCACACUUUUUUAUGGCAAGUUCUGCAGUCACUUUACUUCAUAACUUAGUUGUCCAGUAUAGACAGCAUAUUUACUGUAUUGCUUUAUUAUUUCACGAGAUUUAUCUUAAAUUGUUAUCUCAGCCACUGUCACUGCUCAGCUUACCACUAAUGCAUGGUCAUGGCAGAUAUCUCUUUCACACAGGCCUGUGUGAGACACUAUGGGGAUCUGCUAUGUGGCUUAGCUCAUGCUGGUGGGACUUGCACUGGUGGCUGAAGCCCAAAAUGCCUAGGAGUCAUGUCUCUGUACUAUAGAUCACAUGGGAGACAUGAGACUAGGAAGCUAUAUUUGAUUCCAUUUUUAUAUAUUUAGCACCUGUUUUUAAGCUUUAUCAGGUUUUAUGUGAUGUAGGUGCCAAAUGUUUGGGCACCAUUUGUAGACAGAGAUUUUCAUUGGGACCGCUGACCAGCUUUAACCACCCUGAAACUUAAUAUUAAUUAUAAAUGCUCAGUUGAUAGCUUAGACUUGUUACUAAAUAGUUCUUACCACUUAAAUUAACCCAUAUGUUUUUAUCUAAGUUCAACCACGUGACUUAUAGCUUGUUACCUAAUUUUUUUGCAAGUCCUGUUUCCUCUGCAUCUGGCUCACCCUUCAUCCUAGUAUCCUCCAAGUCUGGCUCUCUCACUCACCUAACAUCUGCAUGCCUAUCUAUAGAUCACUUGGCUCUUUAUAGACCAAUGAGAAUAAUACAUGUUUACAGUGUAAAAAGACUAUUGCACAGCAAUUAUGAGUAUUUUGUAUAGGUUUCUGUAUGUGUGUAUGUGUGUGUGCACAUAACUGUUUUGAAAACAGGAAUUAUGAGUAAACUGUUCUGAUUUUGUUUUUAUUUUCAUUGAUACUGGAAUUUUUGAGGUUUUCUGCAAAUUUUGGAAUCAGUUAGGUAAUGAGAAUAAAGGAGUAAAACCGUGAAGAUGCAUGAUAAGUCACUCAAUGUCUUAUGAUUAUUAGAUUUAUAGUGAUGUUAAGACCAUUUAUGUGGUAUUUUCCAACUCUAUAAACCUUAUAUAGAUCUUACUAUUCACAUGAACUAUUUUACUCUUUAGCAAAUAUAUUAUAAAAUUAUUUAUUACUCCAACAUUUUCCUCCUUUUCUGAUCCUGAUGAAUUUUCUCAUUUGCUGAUCAUGCUAGUUUCAGAUUCAGGCACUGAGCAGGUGCUUCUUUUACUGUGACACAGACCUACACCUAAACAGUGGAGUUGUAGGUAAAGGUGCUUUCUGUCUUGAAUCCAUUAUUAUUCCUUUUGUGUAAAAUGUAAUUGAAUUGCCGUGAUGUAAUAAUACAUUUUCUGGCUAAAUGUUUAAAAUCUAGACAUUGUGUGCACAUCUUACUAUUUCUUUUGAAACAACAUGAUGUCCUUUCCUUGAAGAGUGGUUUGUCCUUCUUGCCAUAAAAAAAUAUGUAAGAAUUGGAAAGACUUAUUCCUCAUUUUUGCCAAUAAUUUCUCUGAGAAAUAAAAAGUUUCUCUUUUAUUUCUAAAACUAUGGAUAAUAAAGAGCCCUUGAGGAUAGUCUGUAUAUACUUCCAUUUAUUAUUUAGAAAACUGGCAUGUAUUCAUGACUUGAUUAGUUGAAUUUUAAAAUUCUUUCCUUGAAAUUAGUUUUUUAAUGGUAAUUAAUGAUUUCAAAUAUUUGUAUGAGCAUUAGUAAUGUUUUCCCCAAUGUGCUAUCCCAUCUUCCUCUUUCUUGUGCUUAUGCCAUAAUUUAUAAAUUCUAUUACUAUUUCAUUUUAAUUUUUAAAUUUUCAUAGAGUAGUAUAUUUACAUAAUUUCUAUGUCUUCAUCUCUUCAACUUUUCCUGAGUAUUCUUCUUCCUACUUCAAAUAUAUAACUACUGUCAUAAUAAUUUUUGUUAUACAUAGUUGCAUGUGUGUGUGAUAAGUUCUGCUUACUGUAUUUAAUAGUCCUAGAGCUCUUCUUAUCUCUAGUUUGAAGAAAUAGUAUUUAUAAUUUUUCACGAUUACAUGGGUUUAAGAAAAUGAUGAGUAGUUCCUGUAAGUAGCAUGUAGCAAGUACUAAUAAUAACUGUAGAAAAUUAUAAUGUAUGAGGCACAUAGAACCAGGUGUCAAGUGUCCUGUCCCUAAUAAUAGCACUGUGACAAACAGAAAGAUGAAGAAUAAUUCUACAUUGGUGGUUAUUAAUAGAUAUGGAUACAACAAUAUGUCAUUUGGACUUACUUUAAUUCUAUAUUCCUCUAUCAAAAUGAGAAUAAUCAUUUUUAUUAUGUCUGUGACCAUUCUAUUUUAAGGUUCAUGGCCAUUUUUUGCAGUGUUGGCUAUAUCUUUCAUCUCACAAAGUUAAUCAUUAUCCUCCUAAGUUGGUGGUUACUUCCCUCAUACUUAGGACUCUAUGGUAAUAAUGUAACUGAAGACUGCUCAUUAUUUUCUGAUUUAGGGUAUGUAACUAAUGAGAGUGAGAAAUUCUGUACCUGUUGGUUAGCUAUUAUUUAUGAUUUAUUAAAGCUUGCCUGAGGAUUCAGAAAGCAAAGUAAGCCAUAAACCACAGAAGCCAGGCACACAAUUUAAUCCCAGCAGCCAGAAUCUAGGAGACAGUGGUACACACCAUUAGUCCUAGGACUCAGGAUUAAGAGAUUGAUGGAUCUCUGUGAGUUCAAGGCCACCCAGGGAUACACGAGAUUGAAUAUGUCUAAAAUAGUAACAGAUCACAUGCCUUUAAUACUAGAAGUGGAGGGGUAUAAAAGUAUGGUGUUCAGAAUCCAAUAAGAGGCAUUCAUUUUUCAGUCACAUUGACAGGCAGCAGUUUGAUAACUUGGUAAAGAGGUUGUGUAUGGAUCAUCCCUUUCAGCCAGAGCUUGAAUUGAGAGCUAGUGGCUGGCUGCUUUGCUUUUCUGACCUUCAGUUUAUAGCCUGAACCCCUAUAACAGUCUCUGGAUUCUUUUAUAAUUUGUGUUACAAUUAACCUUCAGCUAUAUUACUGACAAUCAAUACACAUGAAGCUUCUAACAAAACAUUGGAAGGAGGGGUUUCUGUUCUAUGAUACAUAAGUAAGUACAGAUUUCAGAAAAACGUUCUGACCAUCAUAUUUGAAAGUAGAACCAUGGUUUGAAAAUGACCUGUGAAGCUCCAGUGGGGACCAUAUGGAUACUUUUGGCCAAGAAGUAAACCAAAUAACUUAUUACUGGCAAACAAGAGAGAUAACUCUGAUAUUCCUACAUGAUAUAAAAUAUGCAAUAUUCAUAAUAUCUCUCCAAAUAUACUUUGAUCCAUUUCAGCUACUUUCAUGUGUAUAUAUGUUUAUGUAUGUGUAUAUGUAUAUUUAUAUAUUCUAUACAUAUAUACGUACAUAUUAAUAUAUGCACGUGUAUACUUCGUUGACAGAGUUUGCGAUUUCCUACGUGAAGACUGUAUUUAAUUGUUUGGACUACUUCUUUCUGCUUCCUGCUGCAAUACUAUGUCUGCUCCAAUAAAGGUCAAGAUAAAUGCAACUUAUUAUAAAAAUUGUUUUUGAGCAUAUGCAAAUAUAUGUAAAACUAGCCCACACUAUGUACACAAUGUGGUGAUUAUGUGUAUCGAUUUUCAGCAUUGGCCAUUUGGAACUGAAAGGUCCAUCAAUGUUAUUGUCAAGUAGAGAUGGUUGCUAAGUUAACAUGCAUCGUUUAUCUGUAGUUCUGUGUUAAGUUUAAGAAGUUGAGAAAAUUUACCAGACAGAUUGUUAGCUUUUGGCAUAAGUUCCAUUAUGUUUUUAUGUUUACCAUUCUGGCAUACCUGGAAUGAAAGAAAUAUUUCUCACUAUGUAAGUUUGCUUUAUAGCUCAAAAAACUACCGGCAUACCUAUUUUUGCUAAAAGAAGAAUUUCACUUUAUUAUUAUACCAAGUGUCUCUCCUUCCUUCCAGAUCUGCCUAGAUUUUCAGGAAAUUGUAUGAUUCUAGUCACAUGGAAUAGGAUAGAAGCUUAUGAAAAUACCAAGGCUCUCCAUGCAUCAGAGUUCACUAAGGAGAUACUUAUCUGUUUCAUAAUUGCUUCCAAACCUCAAUAACUGUCAUUUAAAUAUUUCAAUAAAGAUGAAUUUAUAAUAUAUAUAAAGGUGUCUUUGUCCUCUAAGAAAAAAGAUUUUAUUGUGUUACACACUUUUUACUGAAAUUUGAAAAAAUAUUCUAUUGCAUCAUUUGGCUAUUUUUAAGACUUGCUAAGUGACAGUCAAUGUUAUUUUUGAUCCUUAAAAUUAUCUCAAAUAAUUCUGUAUAUAUCAGUAUUAUUGCGGUGAAAUUUUGGUUUGUGAGUGAGUGAGUGUGUGUGUGUGUGUGUGUGUGUGUGUGUGUGAGAGAGAGAGAGAGAGAGAGAGAGAGAGAGAGAGAGA